rnacentral:misc_RNA from 1 species
GGACUACCCGGGUUUCUAAUCCCGUUUGCUCCCCACGCUUUCGCGCCUCAGCGUCAGUUACAGACCAGAGAGUCGCCUUCGCCACUGGUGUUCCUCCACAUCUCUACGCAUUUCACCGCUACACGUGGAAUUCCACUCUCCUCUUCUGCACUCAAGUCCUCCAGUUUCCAAUGACCCUCCGCGGUUAAGCCGCGGGCUUUCACAUCAGACUUAAAGGACCGCCUGCGCGCGCUUUACGCCCAAUAAUUCCGGACAACGCUCGCCCCCUACGUGUUACCGCGGCUGCUGGCACG